GGGUGAGUAACGCGUGGGUAACCUGGCCCAUACAGGGGGAUAACACUUAGAAAUAGGUGCUAAUACCGCAUAACAACAGAAAGCGCAUGCUUUUUGUUUGAAAACCAAGGUGGUAUGGGAUGGACCCGCGUCUGAUUAGCUGGUUGGCGGGGUAAAGGCCCACCAAGGCGACGAUCAGUAGCCGGCCUGAGAGGGUGGACGGCCACAUUGGGACUGAGACACGGCCCAAACUCCUACGGGAGGCAGCAGUGGGGAAUAUUGCACAAUGGGGGAAACCCUGAUGCAGCGACGCCGCGUGAGUGAAGAAGUAAUUCGUUAUGUAAAGCUCUAUCAGCAGGGAAGAAAAUGACGGUACCUGAGUAAGAAGCCCCGGCUAACUACGUGCCAGCAGCCGCGGUAAUACGUAGGGGGCAAGCGUUAUCCGGAUUUACUGGGUGUAAAGGGAGCGUAGACGGCAGUGCAAGUCUGGAGUGAAAGGCGGGGGCUCAACCCCCGGACUGCUCUGGAAACUGUACGGCUGGAGUGCAGGAGAGGUAAGUGGAAUUCCUAGUGUAGCGGUGAAAUGCGUAGAUAUUAGGAGGAACACCAGUGGCGAAGGCGGCUUACUGGACUGUAACUGACGUUGAGGCUCGAAAGCGUGGGGAGCAAACAGGAUUAGAUACCCUGGUAGUCCACGCCGUAAACGAUG
rnacentral:rRNA from 1 species